rnacentral:rRNA from 1 species
GGCGGCGUGCUACAACAUAGCAAGUCGAACGAACGAACUCGUGCGGCGGAACGUACUCCGGACGGGAAGGACGCGGCAGGACGUGAGUGGUCGGACGGGUGGAGGUAACGCGUGGGUAACCUGCCCUGUACAGGGGGACGAACAGCUGGAAACGGCUGCUAAUACCGCAUAAGCCUACAGUACCGCAUGGUACAGCAGGAAAAACUACCGGUGGUACAGGAUGGGCCCGCGUCUGAUUAGUUAGUUGGCAGGGUAACGGCCUACCAAGACAACGAUCAGUAGCCGGCUUGAGAGAGUGGACGGCCACAUUGGGGCUGAGACACGGCCCAAACUCCUACGGGAGGCAGCAGUGGGGAAUAUUGCACAAUGGGGGGAACCCUGAUGCAGCAACGCCGCGUGAGUGAAGAAGUAUUUCGGUAUGUAAAGCUCUAUCAGCAGGGAAGAAAAUGACGGUACCUGACUAAGAAGCUCCGGCUAAAUACGUG